CUUUAGUCUGCUAGCCUAAGCCACAUUUACAGCCUGAAGGGUAUGUUGUCCUUUCCCAGCGAUCACAAAAAGGAUGCUUUAUUUUCUGUUUGGCUUCUAGUUCUUUUGAACACAGAAAACUCUGUCCGGGACCCUGGAGGGGAGAAGCAAAGGGAGUUGGAGGGUUACCAAAACCUUUCUCUCAUUCCACAUUAGACACUGCCUGUAUGGAGAGAGGUGUGUGAUACAGAGAAGAGUCAAAGUGACUCAAAGUCUCAGCUGAGAGGUGCUACUAAUGGACAUCAGCUCCCACAAGCCGCUGCUGGAAACCCUCCCUGGCUUUGGACAGCACUUGGCUUAGAUUCCAAACUCUGCAUCCCAUCACCAAAGCCUCACCUCAUCUAAUCACUGGCCACCUCUCUAACCUCAUCUCCUCCCACUCUCCUGUUAUCAUGCUCCAGCAGCUCAGCAUCUUUUCUGUUUGGGGCCUUGGCUCUCUCAGGGCUUUGGUGCUUGCUGUUCCCUGCACCUGGAAUAGUUUCCUCCCUGGAGAAGCCAAUGUUGGUCACUCAGUCCAAAGAGGUCCACACCCCUAACCCAUCACCACCUAAACUAUCAUUUCCUGCUAUUUCUCUUCUUCAUUUAUUGCUUGUUUAUUGGAUUCUCUCACCCCUCUCUAAAAUGCAAGCUCCACGAGAACACAGAUAUUGGCUAAAUUACUUGUGGCUGUAACAUCAGUGACUACAAGUAGGAAGGUCAGGGAAGGGAGCUAUUUGAGAGUGAAGGAGGAGGAAGAAUCAUAUAUAAUAUUUGGUAGAAGCUGUGAUUGAUGUUCCAGUGAAAUAUGUGGAUGGAAAUGCCCAGGAGACAGCUAGAGAUGCCUGGCUAGACCCAAGAGAGUUUGAGCCUGGGAUACAUAUUUCGGAGUCCUUCCCAUAAAGCUAAUAGCUAAAGUCGAUAUGGAAGAGAAGACAGUGAAGAGCAGAGCCUUAGGCAACACCCACAUUCUGGAGAUUUAUUUUAUCAUGUUACCUAGAAUGUUCCUCCAUCUCCUAUUAAGCACCCCUCUCUCAAACUGAAGUUGCAGCUUAAGAAUUACUUGCCUCUUUCCCCACAUUUAUAAUCCCUGCCCCCUGUUGCAGAUGCAGAACAGCAACCCAAGUCCCUUCUGGAAGCAGCCCUCUCCCUCCUGGCAGCUGACAGAAGUCUCUCUGGCCAGGCCGGCCUUUUGGCUGCUCUGCAUAUGGAAGUUCAAUUACUGUCAAUGGGAGGCCCAUCGGCAGGGUGAGGGCAGAAUACACAAUGGAGAUCGGUGUACCAGAUAGGCGCCUAGAUCAAAGAAGAACCCAGAGUUUGUGAAGUCCUUUCAUCCUCCCUGAUGAAAGGGAGAAGCUUACUGCUGUUUUCAUGGCUCUGCAUGCCCGGGGAAAGAGGAAGGCCACAGGAAGGUGACAGCUGAGGCAGGGUAUAACAGCAGGUCCCCAGGGUGGGUCAUUCACUGGGCUGACAAUCCAGUUGAUGCUUGCUUGGGUUGGGGCUCUGUGCUAAUUUGGAUGCUGACAGCCAGGUGACAGCAGCAGAGGGAAAGUAAGCUGAGAAGCAGAGAGGGGGAACCUUGAAAUGAUGCCUCUAAACGAUGGUUGACUUGUUUGUGACAUCACACCCCUAAGGCAUAGCUCUUUCCCCUGGGAGGGAUGCUGAGUGGCAAGUAGGCAGGCUGGGUACAUUUCCUUUUGGGAUGUGGUAGCGACAGUGUCCUACAGAGUCAGACUGGUGGCUUUAACAUCACAGGGCUUUGUCCAGCUGGAUCCGGAUAUCCAUUUGUCUAGAUUCCAUUUUCUCUGCUUCCUUUUUUAUUCCAGUAGAUAUAGCAGGCUUUCUCCCUGUAGCCAUGCAGAAGAGAUACAACUCAGAGGUGAUUCCUCUCAAAGGACAUAUUAGAUUCUUGAAGAGAGUCUAACAGGUUUAAGUGGGUCAGAUGCCAUGACUCAACAGCUUCCCCUUGAUCCUUUAAUCUCACAUCUGAAGCAUAAGACCUAUCCAGGUUACUUGGGGCAGCACCACCAUUGUACCAUUAAGGCUUCUCUUUCAGAAGGAUGAAUAAUCCAUCUGCAGCACUAUUUUACACUCUAGUUCAAUUCAAGACUCUGAAUAUGAUUUAUAAGUGUGAGUGAUUAUUUUAAGAUCAACCAGGGUUAAGCCAGGGAAAUUCUGUCCUCUGGUAGGGAGCCUCAAUGACCAGACCACUGUAAAGCCCCAGGAAUGCCAAGAACUCUGAAGAAGAAAGAUUCACCUCUAAGUGAGUUGGAGGAGGCAAAGACAAAAAACAAAAAACAAACAGUACAGGCCUUAGACUAAGGAGUGUGGGAAUGAGUUUCACCUCCAUUUCCAGCAACUGCCACGCAUAGAGUCUCUUCCAAAAAUGCCGGUGGCCUCAAAGAAGAGACAGCUGCUUCCCCAGCCCCUCAUUCAUCACCUGCUUGCUGGCCUAGGACUGAUAAGACAGAUCCAGAUCAAAUUACCUGGCAGCUGGGAGAGCAAGGAGAUAAGGAAAGGCAAGCUUAGGAGAAGUUCAGUAGAGUAGCAAAGAUCAAAUUGUGUAUUAAAUUUUCCAGGAACUAAAACCUUGCUCCCUCUGCAAACCCAGGGGAGGCACCUCCAAUCAGUCAGCACCAAACAGUGUUCCCAGGAGAAAAGCAAUGCCUUCAGCUUCUACUAGGAAUUAAGAAAACAGAGUACUGAGACCAAUUUAUUAUCACGCAGUUGGAUGAUAGGAAAAUGAAAACAAAGGUUAGAGGUGAACAUUAUAGAGGAGCCGAGUGGCCAAUGGCCAGAGAAACUUCAGGCAACAGAAGGAACACUGGGCUGAGCAAAAGACUUGGAUUCUUGUUCUAGCUCCAUCUCUCUCCCUUUGAAAAUGCACUUGAACCCCUCUGGGCUUUAUUUUUUUUUAUUUAUUUAUUUAUUUAUUUAUUUAUUUAUUUAUUUAUUUAUUUAUAAAAUGGUGGGGUGAGGAUUUCUUCAAGCUAAGAUCUUCCUGGCUUGAAGCUCUUAAAAUUUCUUGUUACUGCAGUCUUCCUAAGACAUUCCAUCUGAUGGUUUAUUCUUUUGACUCUGCCAUUUUACUCAACUAAACCUCAAAAUUCUUGACUAUGGAAGCCUCCAGAGGUGUUGUUAAAGCUUUAACUCUUUCAUUAAAAGCCAUGUGACUUGCUUUAUCCAAUGGGAGGUUAGUAGAUGUGACACAAACAAAUGCUCGAAAGAGUACUUGCAUGUUUCCAUUUACGUUUCUGUUCUUGCCUUCUGUCAUCACCAUGACAACAUGCCCAGUCUGGCUCCUGGAGGAUGGGACACACAACGUGGGAACCGGCAAGUCACCAGAGUCAUCUCAGCCAAGAUCAACCAAUAGUCAAUUACCAGGAACGUGAGAGAAUUCUGAGACCAGGACUGCUCAGCCACCUCUGCCUAAAAUACCAACACACAGAACAGUAAAGUGAAUGGAUGUUUAUUAUCCUAAGCCACUAUAUUUUGAGAUUGUACCUCAUGCAGCACUAUUAUGACCAUAGGUGACUGAUAUAAAAAGUAAGGAAUUAUGAAUCAUAAGAAAAAGAUGAACCAAGGAAAGAAUCAGCUUUGAAGAGGUGGUAAACUAUGGGAGUUGGGUAUGCUUUUCUGCAAUGAUCUUGUCUUAUUUUCUUUUUUUUUAAAGGAAGGCCUACCUGAAUAAUUCUGUGCAGGAAGAUAAAAGCAAGAUUAGAGUGAGACCUAUUCAGGGAGGUGUCAUUUUGUGAGCAGUUCAUGACCAUACCCAAUAAUCAGGGUCUGUCUACAUAUCUGAAUUUUAAUCCUUACAUAUAUGGCCUUAGAUGAACUAAAAUAAUUAUAAGAAGUUGUGUCAUUGUAGACUUCUAUUAAUAAACAUAUACCUACAUAUAUACAUGUUUAUGCACAAGAAUCAGCCUGUAUAGGCAUAUUUACCUAGGCAUAUUCAUUGCAUAGUGCUCUCAUGGUUGUGACUUGGGUGGGUGUAGCAAAGUGACAGGCCAGGAUCUCACCACAUAGGAAGAACUUUGGUCUGGCCAAGACAGGGCCAGCUAGUGGCCUCCCUGCCAUUAGCUCUGUCUGCCACCCAAGACAGAAGAAGCCAACAGUCCAAAGGGACAUAGCAGCUUCAUUUUGGUUCUAGUUAGUGGUGCCAUAGAAGAGGAACAGGCAGAUAGGAUCUCAUCUAGGCCAUGAGACAAGCAAGAGUUCUCAAGAAGGGUAGACUCUUAGAAACAGGAGGCCAGUGAGACAUGGAUCUAAGAGGCAUAGCCAGGUAGAAGCAGCCCUAGUCAAUGGCUAGAAGUAUAAUAUCCCAAUAAAAGAGGCAUUCUUAGAAAGCUGGGCAGCAUCUCAGGACCACACAUGAUUGGGGAAAAGGGGUUGGUGAGGGGCAGACCCAGCCAGUUAGGCCUGUAGGUGCUGGGACAGGGUGGGGGAUGCAUUGUACCCACAGAAUAAAGCCAUAAGGGUGAAUAGCAAGAGCCACAUUGUGGAUCACCCUGGAGCAGGUGUCAGAGUGAAGCCUGACAUAUGGAAGCUCUAGGAACACAAUGGUAACCAGGGGAAUAGAGGAAGAAAGAGAGGUUUCAAGGCCUCAGUAAAGCUGAGACUCAGGAACAGCAGGUGUGCACAAGUGCUAAGUGGUCUGGAUUAAUUCACGAGCUGGGUGCCAAUGCCUGGCUCAGCUUCUAUGGGCUCCUGGAGGAUCCUUAAGAGGUGAUAAAGUUCAGGUAAAGACAGUGGACUGGGACCAGGCAGAGCCUGGGAUCCUGGGGUCAUAUCCAGCCCAUUACCAAAUCCUGUCAAUUAAACUUCCAAAAUGUCUCUGA
rnacentral:lncRNA from 1 species